rnacentral:misc_RNA from 1 species
UACGGAGGGUGCAAGCGUUGCUCGGAAUCACUGGGCGUAAAGCGUGCGCAGGCGGCUAUGCAAGUCAGACGUGAAAGUCCGGGGCUCAACUCCGGGAGGUCGUUUGAAACUGCAUGGCUUGAGAACGGGAGAGGGGUGUGGAAUUCCCAGUGUAGGAGUGAAAUCCGUAGAUAUUGGGAGGAACACCAGUGGCGAAGGCGACACCCUGGCCCGUAACUGACGCUCAUGCACGAAAGCGUGGGGAGCAAACAGG